UACGUAGGGUGCAAGCGUUGUCCGGAAUUAUUGGGCGUAAAGAGCUCGUAGGCGGUUUGUUGCGUCGGCUGUGAAAUCCCGAGGCUCAACCUCGGGUCUGCAGUCGAUACGAGCAAACUAGAGUGUUGCAGGGGAGACUGGAAUUCCUGGUGUAGCGGUGAAAUGCGUAGAUAUCAAGUGGAACACCAGUGGCGAAGGCGAGUCUCUGGACAUUUCCUGACGCUGAGGCACGAAAGCCAGGGGAGCAAACGGG
rnacentral:rRNA from 1 species